rnacentral:rRNA from 1 species
ACACGACUACAUUAGAUACCCCGGUAGUCCUAGCCGUAAACGAUACUCGCUAGGUGUCGGCCACGGUGCGACCGUUGUCGGUGCCGUAGGGAAGCCGUGAAGCGAGCCACCUGGGAAGUACGGCCGCAGGGCUGAAACUUAAAGGAAUUGGCGGGGGAGCACCACAACGGGUGGAGCUUGCGGUUUAAUUGGAUUCAACGCCGGAAAUCUUACCGGGACCGACAGCAACAUGAAGGCCAGGCUGAAGACUUUGCCGGAUUAGCUG